AACGAACGCUGGCGGCGUGCCUAACACAUGCAAGUCGUGCGAGAAAGUUCCUUCGGGAGCGAGUAAAGCGGCGCACGGGUGAGUAACACGUAGGUAACCUGCCCCCCAGUCUGGAACAACUAGAGGAAACUCUAGCUAAUGCCGGAUAAGACCACGGCCCCCUCGGGGGCUGCGGCCAAAGAUGGCCUCUACUUGUACGCUAUCGCUGAGGGAUGGGCCUGCGGCCAUUAGCUUGUUGGUGAGGUAACGGCUCACCCAAGGGCUGUGAUGGCUAGCUGGUCUGAGAGGAUGACCAGCCACACUGGGACUGAGACACGGCCCAGACUCCUA
rnacentral:rRNA from 1 species